AAAUUUCUUCUUGGACAGUGAGCAGUACCCAAGAACACAUAUGGGAAGGACAGGACCAUGAAGCUUCCUGAAGCUUUGUUGUGUGAACUGGAGAUUGCCAGACCCUACGUCCCAGUCCACGUCACGGCCUAGUUCUGGAGUCCAGCUUGUCUGUGUGGAUCUUAUGGGAAGCUGUGUCAAAAACUGCUCUCCUAAAAUCCAGGGCAGUGAAACUACCAUUUUUCUCAUCUCCUCAGGAUCCUGAACUCCACCAUCCCAUGGUCACUGCAGCCAAGGCUUCCCUCGACUUUCACAGUUUUGACCAGUUCUUUGUUUAAAGGGUCAGGCCUAGGCAGACUGUGCCCACCCACCAGCUCCUCAAUCACCUGUGUCUGGAAGCUGGCUCCAAUGUACUCCAGGAACCUCUUGAAUGACUUUUGUGCUGCUGUGAUGUCCCUCCAGCAGUUUUUGGGAUAGUUAAGGUCCCCUAUUAGGACCAAUGCCAGUCCAGAUAAAUCUCACAGGACACAGAAGAUGAAUAUUACAGAAUUUAAUGUUGCUCUUAAGCCUGUAAUUUCAACAUUUGACAUCCUGAAAAUUGCAAAAAGAUCAGAGCUUUAUUUGAAAGAAGACACUGCUGGACCUUGCUCACCUUUAUUAAGAUGUUUUCACCUAAACAAGGUGCUUAAGGAUAGUCUCUGCAACCAGAUAUCAACAUGGAGAGACAGUAAAAUAUUUUUCUAUCUGCUCUUCACCACUGAAAUUUAAUCUCAUAUGCUACAUGCCAGCCAUGAAGGUAUUAGAGAGCUUCAUGUCCAUCACUUUUUA